GCGCAGCAGUCGCGAAAACUUCACAAUGUGCGAAAGCACGAUGAGGGAAUCCCAAGUGCUUGCUCGUAAGAGUAAGCUGUUUACUCUGUCUAAAACGCAGAGAGAGUAAGGGCUGGGUAAGACGGGUGCCAGCCGCCGCGGUAAUACCUGCCAGCUCGAGUGGUGGCCGCUAUUAUUGGGCCUAAAACGGUCCGUAGCCGGUUUAUUAAAUGCCUGGGGUAAAUCGGACCGCUUAACGGUUCGAAUUCCGGGUAGACUGAUAAGCUUGAGACCGGGAGAAGCUAGAGGUACUCCUGGGGUAGAGGUGAAAUUCUGUAAUCCUAGGGGGACCACCAGUGGCGAAGGCGUCUAGCUAGAACGGGUCUGACGGUGAGGGACGAAGCCCU
rnacentral:rRNA from 1 species